GGCGCAAGACCUGAUCUAGACCAUGCCGCGUGAGUGACGAAGGCCUUAGGGUCGUAAAGCUCUUUCGCCAGAGAUGAUAAUGACAGUAUCUGGUAAAGAAACCCCGGCUAACUCCGUGCCAGCAGCC
rnacentral:rRNA from 1 species